rnacentral:rRNA from 1 species
GACGAACGCUGGCGGCGUGCCUAAUACAUGCAAGUAGGACGCAGUUGCGAACGUUUGAGUAACGCGUCGGUAACUGCCUAUUAGAGGGGGCUAACUAUUGGACACGAUAGCUAAUACCGCAUACUAGUAGAUGUACCUGCGUUGUAUCAGCUAGUCGGUAGGGUAAUGGCCUACCUAGGCGACCAUACAUAGCCGACCGGAGAGGGUGAUGGGCCACACAGGGACUGGGACAAGGCCCAGAUUCCUACGGGAGGCAGCAGUAGGGAAGCUUCGGAAAUGGGAGGAACCCUGACCGAGCAACGCGGCGUGAGUUAAGAAGGUUUUCGGAGCGUAAAGCGCGGUUGUUAAGGAAGCGGUACUUAAACAGAAAGGGACGGCUAACUACGUGCCAGCAGCCGCGGUAAUAC